rnacentral:tRNA from 2 species
GCCCGGAUGGCGAAAUUGGUAGACGCAAGGGACUUAAAAUCCCUAGCCAGCAAUGGCGUGCCGGUUCGAUUCCGGCUCCGGGCACCA